rnacentral:rRNA from 1 species
UACGAAGGGUGCAAGCGUUACUCGGAAUUACUGGGCGUAAAGCGUGCGUAGGUGGUUCGUUAAGUCUGUCGUGAAAGCCCCGGGCUCAACCUGGGAACCGCGCUUGAGACUGGCAUGCUCGAGUUCGGGAGAGGAUGGUGGAAUUCCCAGUGUAGAGGUGAAAUUCGUAGAUAUUGGGAAGAACACCGAUGGCGAAGGCAGCCAUCUGGACCGACACUGACGCUGAGGCGCGAAAGCGUGGGGAGCAAACAGG